rnacentral:rRNA from 1 species
CUACGUAGCUCAGAGUUUGAUCCUGGCUCAGGAUGAACGCUAGCGGCAGGCUUAACACAUGCAAGUCGAGGGGCAGCAUAGACAUUGCUUGCAAUGUUUGAUGGCGACCAGCGCACGGGUGCGUAACGCGUAUGCAACCUACCUAUAACAGGGGGAUAACACUGAGAAAUUGGUACUAAUACCCCGUAACAUCAGAGAGGGCAUCCUUUUUGGUUGAAAGUCCCGGCGGUUAUAGAUGGGCAUGCGUUGUAUUAGCUAGUAGGUGAGGUAACGGCUCACCUAGGCGACGAUACAUAGGGGGACUGAGAGGUUAACCCCCCACAUUGGAACUGAGACACGGUCCAA